GGAGUUUGCUCACUUUUCAUCAUAAAAUGGAUCGUAGGUGGUGGAGAGCACAGGCAAUACGCUACUUAAUGAGAUUUCAAACUGAGUAUACAUGUGGCUUGAUGAAUGUUGCCCGUAAUACUGCAUUNNNNNNNNNNNGUUGCAAAGAUGGUUCUUGCAAGUCUAGGUGAUAAAUGGCCAAAGGAAGUCAGAAACAAGCCAAGAUCAGAUAUUCAAGAAUUUGUAUGGUCAAACCAC
rnacentral:misc_RNA from 1 species